rnacentral:rRNA from 1 species
AGGACGAACGCUGGCGGCGUGCUUAACACAUGCAAGUGGAGCGACGAACCGGGGCUUGCCCCGGGGCAGAGCCGCGAACGGGUGAGUAACACGUGGGUUACCUGCCUUGAUGACCGGGACAACCCGAGGAAACUCGGGCUAAUACCGGAUGUGCCCGCAAGGGGAAAGGAAGCUUCGGCCUCCGCAUCAAGAUGGGCCCGCGGCCCAUUAGCUUGUUGGUGAGGUAACGGCUCACCAAGGCUACGAUGGGUAGCUGGUCUGAGAGGACGAUCAGCCACACUGGGACUGAGACACGGCCCAGACUCCUACGGGAGGCAGCAGUGGGGAAUCUUGCGCAAUGCGCGAAAGCGUGACGCAGCAACGCCGCGUGGGGGAAGAAGGCUUUCGGGUUGUAAACCGCUUUCAGCAGGGACGAAGCGAAAGUGACGGUACCUGCAGAAGAAGCACCGGCUAACUACGUGCCAGCAGCCGC